GAGGGUCUGCGAGGCGACCGGGCCCCUCGCGGCCCGCCGGAGGGUCCGCGCGCCGCCGGAAGUUGGAGGGGGCGCUCGUCCGAGCCCCGGCCCCACAGCCAAGCCCUCCGCAGGGUCCGCCCUCCGCCGGGCAUGGAGGAGGGCGCGGCAGCCGCGGCUGCCAGGACCCGCCCCCUCGCCUUCCAGAGCAGGCGACAGGCGGCGCGAGGAGGCGGGGCCGCGGCUGCUGGCGGUGUCUGCGCCUCGCGGUUUCGGAGCUAGCAGACGCUCGGGGAACAUGGCGGCAGCGGAGACCGCGGUCCCGGCGCUCCCCAGCGGCGGUGGCUUGGGGGCGCCGUCGGGCACGGUCCCCGUGCUUUUCUGCUUCUCGGUCUUCGCGCGGCCCUCAGCCGUGCCGCACGGCGCGGGCUACGAGCUGCUCAUCCAGAAGUUCCUCAGUCUGUACGGCGACCAGAUCGACAUGCACCGCAAAUUCGUGGUGCAGCUCUUCGCGGAGGAGUGGGGCCAGUACGUGGACCUGCCCAAGGGCUUCACGGUGAGCGAGCGCUGCAAGGUGCGCCUCGUGCCGCUGCAGAUCCAGCUUACUACCCUGGGAAAUCUUACACCUUCAAGCACUGUGUUUUUCUGCUGUGAUAUGCAGGAAAGGUUCAGACCAGCCAUCAAGUAUUUUGGAGAUAUUAUUAGUGUGGGACAGAGAUUGUUACAAGGGGCCCGGAUUUUAGGAAUUCCAGUUAUUGUAACAGAACAGUACCCUAAAGGUCUUGGAAGCACUGUUCAAGAAAUUGAUUUAACGGGUGUAAAACUGGUACUUCCAAAGACCAAGUUUUCAAUGGUAUUACCAGAAGUAGAAGCAGCAUUAGCAGAGAUUCCUGGAGUCAGGAGUGUUGUGUUAUUUGGAGUAGAAACCCAUGUGUGCAUCCAACAGACAGCUCUGGAGCUCGUUGGCAGAGGUAUUGAGGUUCAUAUUGUUGCUGAUGCCACGUCGUCGAGAAGCAUGAUGGACAGGAUGUUUGCUCUUGAGCGUCUUGCUCGAACUGGGAUCAUAGUGACUACAAGUGAAGCUGUUCUGCUACAGCUGGUGGCUGAUAAAGAUCAUCCAAAAUUCAAGGAAAUUCAGAAUCUAAUUAAGAUCAUGCAAGCAAGGUGAUGAGGCCUAAUUAUAGGAAGCCUGAAUUGAUUUUAAUACAUUAGUCUUUGAAUUGGAAGUGUCUCCAAUUUUGUAAGGCUGAGGAUUUGGGAGGCCAGCAAGGAAACAGGCUCCUAAGUUGUACAAGCACAAGGAACUCAAUUUAGCAAAGAACCUCAGUGAGUCUGGAAGCAAGUUUUCCCCCAGAGCCCCCAGGUAAGAAUGCGGGCGGGACCCCCAAUGCCUUGAUUUCUGCCUUGUGAGACCCUGAGCCGAGAUGGCCCCCAUGCUGUGCCAGGACUUCUGAUCUCCAGAACUAUGAGGUAGUAAACGUCUCUUAAGCUGCUAAAUUAGUGAUAAUUCAUUACACAGCAAUAGAAAAUUAAUGUACUUGCUUUUUUUGUUUGUUGUGGUUUUUUUUGAUUUGCAAUCAUGUUUAUAUGAAGAAAAAGAGGAAGAAAAUAAGUGGGAUGCCAUCAAGACAGUAAAUCUAGCUUCUAUUCAUUUAUUUCCAGAAAAGUGGGAUGGGAGGGAAAGUCCCUAAACUGUAGAAGUCCCUUGGCUUCAUAUUUGUUCAUUGUUCUCACAGCUGUUUCCUUGCUGAAUUGUUCCUCCCACUUGAGACAGUAAAUGCAAGAAAUGAAAGGUGAUGUGUCUCAGAACCUAUGGUUAAUACACAAAUGCUCACUGUUAACGUAUUUUGAAUACGUGCAGCUUUGAAUUGGACUUCUGGAAGAUACAUACUGUGCUUUCACAAAAUAGCCUGUUUGGCAGCCCCAACUAAAAAUGUGGAAUGCUUUGUAAAUGUCGGAAAUGUGGGGAUUUUUCCAAGAAAUUAAGACCUAGAAAUAAUACAUGAAACACACAAAGAAGGCAGGUGUAAAUUGUUAGCUGUUACCCAAAUGUUAACAUCUUUUUGGUUGUAUUGUUUGUAUGCCAAUAAGUGCUUUUUUCUUUUGGAGAAUUUGGCAAAACUUAAAUACUGUGUCGUAUGAUGUCCAUAUUGGAUUUCAGCAGUUCAUUCCUGCAGGUAGACAGCAUGGUGUAGAUGUAACAUUGUGUGUGUUUAUCUAUCACAUACCUUUCUUUUCAUAUUUAAAAAAAAUGGUUGGAGUUGUUGGUGGAGGGAAUUGGCAGGAAAGAGAAGAAUGGGGGAUUGCCUUUAAAUACUGGAGAAAGAGCCACUGGUUAUGUGAUGCAUUGUGUAAUGAAAAGCUUUGAAAUGGUAGACCCAGCUUCAUUCUUAAUAGCUUUAACACUGGGGGCAAAUGUCUCAUUUGUACAAUGAAGAGAUUGGACUGAACUGUACCAUGUGUAAGGUUCAUUGCAGUUCUAAAUUGUAUACUUCAGAUUUUUAAAGUGAAUCAAAUUUAAUAUUUGAGCGUCUGUCAUAUUAAGUAACUCAAUCCUCAUAACAACCAUAUAAUGUAACUGAAGAACUAAGUGAAUAAGUAACUUGCCCAAGGUCAUCCAUCUGGUUGGAAGUGAGAAGGCUGAGAUUUUAACCUAGAAUUUAGAAACUGCUGUAACUGCCAUAACUACUAUGCUGUACUCCCUCUGGCCGUCACGAGAGCCAGUCAUUGUGCGAGGGAAGCCUCUGUGAGCAGGUAAUGAUGUGUGAGGCAUGGGUGGCAAGUGGGGAUUCUUUAUUUCCAAGUUUUAAAAAAAUUUCUAUAUAGACAACUUUAUGCUCUGUUUGCUAUAAAUAGCAUUUUUGAAGACUAAACAUUUUAAAAUAUUCUUUAGAGAGCUCAUUGAGAAAGGUGAGUUCCAUUAUAUGCCAACCGUCUUGCUGUCUUUAGUCUUCCUUUAAAUAUUAACUAAAUUGAUUUAGCUAUGCAUUCAAAAAAGUAAUUAGAAAUUUUGUCAACUCGCCCAACCUCUGUAUUCAAAUCUUCUAGAGAUAAAUAGAAGCUUAAUUUGUCUAUGGCGAAUAUUGACUUCGACAAAUUUCUGCAUAUUUUAAUUACAAAAUAACUAUACUUAGCUAAAACUAAAUCCAUCUCUUUUAAAUACCUGAAUAUUUUAGUUAGCUUUGAAUAAAAAGUCUUCAGUGACAUGAUUAGAACCAAAAUUAGCAUAAAAGCUUUUUAGAAUUAUAGAGGAGUGGGAACACACCUAUGCGGUCGCCCUUGUUCUCUUUCCAUGUUGACCAAUCUCAUAUGUUCUGAAUAAAUCUAGUUAAAUCAUUUGCUAUAAUAACCUGUAGACAUGACUUUUCAAGCUAAAACCAGUGGCAGGCUUGGGAUUUGAUUGUACACUUCUUAUAAGAUAAUUACCAUGCUACUGUUUCAUGGAUGCUAGCAGAAGACAUGACAUUCCUGGAUCAGAGACAAAGGACUUAAUUAUGCAAGCACUGUGAGCAGUAGCAUGUGUGCAUUGGUUCCCUUUACACCUAAGUCCCACAGGGGCGAUGCAGUAUGUACCAGAUGGAUACCAUGCACUCAGUGGGUUUACACUGAACUUUUAUAGCAAACAGUAAGCAAACCUGUUCUUUGUCCAUAAAAAGCUGUUACCUCAUUACUCAAGGUUACCGGCUGCAUAAACAAGACUGAGAAGUGGGCUGGGUAGAAGUGUUCAGGGCCUUGAAGACAUGGCACACCCAGCAAGACCUGGAGGAGUACAAGAGCUCUAAGGAGGACUUACCUCCCAGCAGACAGGUGUGGUGAACUUUAGUGGAAAAGGUAGUGAGGCAGGGCUCAGGUUCUUGUCCUAGCUCUCUGCAGCAGCCUUCAACAAGCCUUUCUGAGACAUCUCUAGGUUCUCUUGUAUAGGAAAUGGAGUUGGAUGAGAUGACAAAAAAUAUCUACUCUUUCAUCUAGAUAUUAGGGUUAUACUUUUCUGAAAACCUUCAUUUAAAAUAAGACUGAACAGGUUGCCUAAGGCUAAAAAUUGAGCCUCAGAAUUUUUACAAAAUCAAGCAACACGAGCACAGAAUGGCUGAUUCCCCUCAAGUGUUAAAUGGAUUCUUAGGAGAGAAGAUGAAUCAUUGUAUUGGUUCAAACAAGGAUGCCCUUUAUAAUCUUAAGAGACAUACCUUAACGCAAACACAAUUAUAAAAGCGUGAACAAGAAAUGUUACCUCAUUUUCUUUGAUAAACAAAAAAAUUCCAAUAAUUAUAUAAGGCAUAAGGGCAUUCAUUAAAAAAAUUAUCUUUAUGGAAUGUCUGGACCAGCUUAGAGAUUUUAGAUUGAAUGCAUUGUUUGAGAUUUUUUUUCAAGAACAAAUGAAUGAGAGCUCAUUACUUAAUCUUGUGAAGCACAUUUUAUAGAUUUUUUAUUUUAGAUUUUGGAAUAGAUUCUGUGAAUUCACAAAUUUUUCUGAAGGUUACUACAUUAAGAUCAGCUUUGUUGGUCGAAACUUCUCAAAAAUAGGUUAAGCAUCUACUUUUCACCCCUUGAAAAAUUCUACUCGAAAGAACUACUAAAUUUUUAAAUGAAAGAUACUUGGGAAGAUGUUAAAUGAUUUGAGUCCACAUUAACUUGCAAAAUGGCAAAAAUAGUUCUGGAAAAUCCAAUCAUGCUAUCACUGUUAAAAUUUAGAUUGUACACAAAGCUCUGUUUUGGCUACUUAGAAUGUGGAAAGAUGUUCUGGUACAUGGGGUUUAUUUAUAUUAACAUCAUCCAGCAAACACGUUCUGUCACUGAUAGACCAGCAGCACAGGUUUUGAAGUAUUUUAACACAUAAGAAAUAGACUGCAAGCAAACCUUGGCUACCAAGAGUUUUCUGGAGUGAAUAUAUAUGGGUUUGUCUGUUCCUUCAGUACUGCUUUAUUGACUGCCUACCCAGUGAAAGCCUCCCUGCCAGGGAAUGUCUCCAGAAGAGAGAGCUGUUCUGAAGAAGUUCAGUCUAAUGAGAGACAAAACAGGUCACACAGGGUGGUUAGUACAAAGAUGAGGUCCUGGACAUAAUUGGGGAAUGCUGGAAAACAAAUUCUCCCCAGAUGGGUUACGGCUUUUUAAAUCCAGGGCCUGGAACCUUUUCAUUUUAAUUCUUUCUGGCAGGGUUUGUUUCUUUGGCUUUUGGCUGGUUAGUUUGGUUUAAUAGAUACAAUUAUAUUGUAAUAUAUAAUCUAUAUUAUGGUUUGUUUUAAUAUUCGUAACAUUUCCUGCCUUAACAGGUUAGGACAUUUUACUCCUUGAAGGAGCUUACAAUCUAGUUGUCUAAAAAGAGCUGCACAACCUGCACUGGCCACGCCCAACACAGGUGAAGGGCUUCGUACAAAAUGGGCAGUAAUAGGAGCUUGAUACCACUUACUCUGAGCCAGGUACUUAGAUGCUGUGACUUCCCUAAUACUCAUAACCUUGUCAGGUUGUUUCUGUUAUCCUUACACGGAGAGGUUAAGAACCUGGAGCUAGGAGUUGGUAUGAAUGAACCCUGUUUUACGGGCUCUCCCACUAACUGCAUAGCCUUGAAUAUUCCUAAAUAUCAGCUAUGGGGAAGGACAGCUCACGAUACAUACACCAGGGCAACGUCUAAAAAAAUUCUGUUGAGUAGACCAGUUAUUCAUGGUAUGUAUCGAUUAAAGACAGCUCUGCUGGGGUGUUGCUAGUCGUGCCGGGUGACCGGGGGUUAAUGUGCAGUAGGCAUUGCGUAACCCAGAGCGCUCAAACCCGAUUGCCCAUGGGGUGAGGCAAGCAAUACAAAUAAAUGAAAUGGGACAGGUAGGCCUGAUACGUGUGCAGCUAAGUUUGAGAACCAGUGCUCUGAGACUUCUCUACUCAACGAGCCCCUCAAAUCAUCACCAUCAUACCUGUGGGAAAUAGAGAAUCUCAAGCCCCAUGCUAGUACUACCAGUACAUAAUCUGUGGUUUACCAAAAUUCCCAGGUGAUUCUAUGCAGGCUAAAGUUAGAGAAGCAUUGCCUAAUAAUCAAGUGACAGGUUGAACCUCACUCUAAAGUCUUAGAACAGUGGUUCUUAAAUCACGGCUACGCAUAAAAAUCAGGGAGUUUCAAAAAGGUACUAAUAUUCACAUCUGUCAUUGGAAAUUCUGUUUUAAUUGAUCUCUGGUUAAAAUCCUGGAAUCAGUAUUUUAAAAAAUUGUCCCAAAGUGAAUCUAAUAUGCCAGGGUUAGAAAAAAAAAAAAA